rnacentral:lncRNA from 11 species
GGGAAGGAGAGGAAAGGUAACAGAUUGACAGCACAGCAUGGCCAAGUUCUGUUCCUGUGCAGAACAGGAUGAAGAAUAUGUUGAUAUUUCUCCGAGUCAGCAAGACCCGAUGAAUUUGCAGCUGCCACUUGUUGACGAUACACAGCCAGCUCUAAUUGAAAGGGAGAGUGUUGUGGAUAACUCUACUCGCUUGCCAGAUGUCUCUAGCUCACCGGAGUCUGUAUCCUUCAACCGGAGAGAGUAUCUAAACAAGCAGAGAUCUGAGAAACAAGCGCGGAGGAGAAGUGCCCGCUUGGCUGAGCGUGGAGACUCUCUCUAGAAGCCUUUCCCUUAGGAACUUUGGGGAGGAAGGCCCCCCUUUUGAGGGGAGACUCUGCACUUCAAUAAAAGCUUUGCUCCCAGUAGUUUCCCUUGCGGUGUCAACGUUGCUUACCACUAAGAAGGUGCAUCGUCUCCAGUUUCCAG